GCCGAAUCUGUCCACUCUCUCCGCCGCGGCGCCCGCCGCCGCAUGAUCGCCACUGCCCCUCGGUCGCCGAUCCGCAGGUCUGGAAGGCCUGCGCAGACAGCGCCUUCCAGAUCCUUGUCAUCCAUCACCCAUCCCUUCCACGUCUCCAUGCCGCCCGCCCGCCGGAUCGUCUCCUCUUCGGCGGCGCCUCAUUCUCGACGGCGAGGAGAUCCCG
rnacentral:misc_RNA from 1 species